rnacentral:rRNA from 1 species
GUAACCUGCCCAGAAGCGGGGGACAACAUUUGGAAACAGAUGCUAAUACCGCAUAACARCGUUGUUCGCAUGAACAACGCUUAAAAGAUGGCUUCUCGCUAUCACUUCUGGAUGGACCUGCGGUGCAUUAGCUUGUUGGUGGGGUAAYGGCCUACCAAGGCGAUGAUGCAUAGCCGAGUUGAGAGACUGAUCGGCCACAAUGGGACUGAGACACGGCCCAUACUCCUACGGGAGGCAGCAGUAGGGAAUCUUCCACAAUGGGCGCAAGCCUGAUGGAGCAACACCGCGUGAGUGAAGAAGGGUUUCGGCUCGUAAAGCUCUGUUGUUAAAGAAGAACACGUAUGAGAGUAACUGUUCAUACGUUGACGGUAUUUAACCAGAAAGUCACGGCUAACUACGUGCCAGCAGCCGCGGUAAUACGUAGGUGGCAAGCGUUAUCCGGAUUUAUUGGGCGUAAAGAGAGUGCAGGCGGUUUUCUAAGUCUGAUGUGAAAGCCUUCGGCUUAACCGGAGAAGUGCAUCGGAAACUGGAUAACUUGAGUGCAGAAGAGGGUAGUGGAACUCCAUGUGUAGCGGUGGAAUGCGUAGAUAUAUGGAAGAACACCAGUGGCGAAGGCGGCUACCUGGUCUGCAACUGACGCUGAGACUCGAAAGCAUGGGUAGCGAACAGGAUUAGAUACCCUGGUAGUCCAUGCCGUAAACGAUGAGUGCUAGGUGUUGGAGGGUUUCCGCCCUUCAGUGCCGGAGCUAACGCAUUAAGCACUCCGCCUGGGGAGUACGACCGCAAGGUUGAAACUCAAAGGAAUUGACGGGGGCCCGCACAAGCGGUGGAGCAUGUGGUUUAAUUCGAAGCUACGCGAAGAACCUUACCAGGUCUUGACAUCUUGCGCCAACCCUAGAGAUAGGGCGUUUCCUUCGGGAACGCAAUGACAGGUGGUGCAUGGUCGUCGUCAGCU